UCUCGAGUGCUGGAAUGCAUCGAGAUCUAAAGCUCCGGCGCCUAAGGAUGGGUCUGCGGCCUAUCAGGUAGUAGUGGGUGUAGUGUACCUACUAGCCUACGACGGGUACGGGUUGUGAGAGCAAGAGCCCGGAGAUGGAUUCUGAGACACGAAUCCAGGCCCUACGGGGUGCAGCAGGCGCGAAAACUUUACAAUGCUGGCAACAGCGAUAAGGGAACCUCGAGUGCCAGGUUACAAAUCUGGCUGUCGAGAUGCCUAAAAAGCAUUUCAUAGCAAGGGCCGGGCAAGACCGGUGCCAGCCGCCGCGGUAACACCGGCGGCUCGAGUGGUAACCGUUAUUAUUGGGUCUAAAGGGUCUGUAGCCGGCCGGAUAAGUCUCUUGAGAAAUCUGGCAGCUUAACUGUCAGGCUUUCAGGAGAUACUGUCUGGCUCGAGGCCGGGAGAGGUGAGAGGUACUACAGGGGUAGGAGUGAAAUCUUGUAAUCCCUGUGGGACCACCUGUGGCGAAGGCGUCUUACCAGAACGGGUUCGACGGUGAGG
rnacentral:rRNA from 1 species